CCUACGGGUGGCAGCAGUGAGGAAUAUUGGUCAAUGGGCGCGAGCCUGAACCAGCCAAGUCGCGUGAGGGAUGAAGGUUCUAUGGAUCGUAAACCUCUUUUAUAAGGGAAUAAAGGGUGGGACGUGUCCUAUUUUGUAUGUACCUUAUGAAUAAGGAUCGGCUAACUCCGUGCCAGCAGCCGCGGUAAUACGGAGGAUCCGAGCGUUAUCCGGAUUUAUUGGGUUUAAAGGGUGCGUAGACGGCCUUUUAAGUCAGCGGUGAAAGCCUGUGGCUCAACCAUAGAAUUGCCGUUGAAACUGGGCGGCUUGAGUAUGUUUGAGGUAGGCGGAAUGCGUGGUGUAGCGGUGAAAUGCUUAGAUAUCACGCAGAACCCCGAUUGCGAAGGCAGCCUGCCAGGCCAUGACUGACGCUGAUGCACGAAAGCGUGGGGAUCAAACAGGAUUAGAUACCCCAGUAGUC
rnacentral:rRNA from 1 species